UUAGGAAUUUUGGGCAAUGGGCGAAAGCCUGACCCAGCAACGCCGCGUGGGUGACGAAGGCCUUCGGGUUGUAAAGCCCUUUUCUGGGGGAAGAUGAUGACGGUACCCCAGGAAGAAGCACCGGCUAACUACGUGCCAGCAGCCGCGGUAAUACGUAGGGUGCGAGCGUUGCCCGGAUUUAUUGGGCGUAAAGGGCGCGUAGGCGGCUCGGCACGUCCGUUGUGAAAUCGCCCGGCUCAACUGGGGCGGGGUCAGCGGAUACGGUCGAGCUUGAGCAAGCUAGGGGGCAGUGGAAUUCCCGGUGUAGUGGUGGAAUGCGUAGAUAUCGGGAGGAACACCAGUGGCGAAGGCGGCUGCCUGGAGCUUUGCUGACGCUGAGGCGCGAAAGCGUGGGGAGCGAUCCGGAUUAGAUGCCCGGGUAGUCCACGCCGUAAACGAUGUCGACUAGGUGUCGGGGGUAUCGACCCCCUCGGCGCCGGAGCUAACGCAUUAAGUCGACCGCCUGGGGACUACGGCCGCAAGGCUAAAACUCAAAGGAAUUGAC
rnacentral:rRNA from 1 species